UUACUGACGCUAAAGCUCGAAGGUGCGGGUAUCGAACAGGAUUAGAUACCCUGGUAGUCCGCACGGUAAACGAUGGAUGCCCGCUGUUUGCGAUAUACAGUAAGCGGCCAAGAGAAAUCGUUAAGCAUCCCACCUGGGGAGUACGCCGGCAACGGUGAAACUCAAAGGAAUUGACGGGGGCCCGCACAAGCGGAGGAACAUGUGGUUUAAUUCGAUGAUACGCGAGGAACCUUACCCGGGCUUGAACUGCCAGCGAACGAUACAGAGAUGUUGAGGCCCUUCGGGGCGCUGGUGGAGGUGCUGCAUGGUUGUCGUCAGCUCGUGCCGUGAGGUGUCGGCUUAAGUGCCAUAACGAGCGCAACCCCUUUCGUCAGUUGCCAUCAGGUGAUGCUGGGCACUCUGGCGACACUGCCACCGUAAGGUGUGAGGAAGGUGGGGAUGACGUCAAAUCAGCACGGCCCUUACGUCCGGGGCUACACACGUGUUACAAUGGGUGGUACAGAGGGCAGGCGGCCGGCAACGUCCGUCCAAUCCCGAAAGCCGUCCUCAGUUCGGAUUGGGGUCUGCAACCCGACCCCAUGAAGCUGGAUUCGCUAGUAA
rnacentral:rRNA from 1 species